rnacentral:lncRNA from 1 species
GGACCACAAUGAUCAUCUGGUUUCAACCCCCCUGCUACGUGCAGGGUCGCCAACCAGCAGACCAGGCUGCCCAGAGCCACAUCCAGCCUGGCCUUGAAUGCCUCCAGGGAUGGGGCAUCCACAGCCUCCUUGGGCAACCUGUUCAGUGCGUCACCACCCUCUGGGUGAAAAACUUCCUCCUAAUAUCCAACCUAAACCUCCC